AUUACAAAGAUACUUUUACAAUAAUAUGUUUAUUCUUAUAAAAGUAUCUUGUUAGUGUUUUUCUAAUAUACAGUAAUAUAAUUUUAAAAUACAGUAAUAUAAUUUAUGUUUUUUAUUAUUUUUUUUAUUGCUUUUUUUUUAGUUACAUAGGUUGUUGUACGUAAAGCAGAACUGAUUUGAUAACUGUUAUUUUUAUUGACUGUUGACAAUUUCAAGAUAUUUUUUUUUUUUGAUUAUUUAACUUUUUUGUUAUCUUUAGGCCAAUUUGCACAGACUACAGCUGGUAAGUUAUUAUAGCAUAACUUCAAUUAACCAUUAAAGAAAUAUACAUAAAUAUGCAUUUCUUACUUAUUUAUUUAUUACUUGUCGUGUAUGGAUUUCCCAUUUGCUGCAAUAUUAAUUUCUUAAUUUUAGUAUCUACCCCUUGUACUACACCUGUAUCUACCUCUUGUGCUACACCUGGUAAGUUAAACAACUAUUAGUUUUUAAUGUGCAAACUUUAUAAUAUGUUUAACUUUAGUUCCUUAGUCAUCUUUUGCAACUAGUAAUUUAAUAAACUAUUACAUUUAAUAUGUAUAUACAUUUCUUCUUAUUUGCUAUAUUGAUUUUUUGUUACAACUUUGUAAUUUUAUUUUAAAAUAGUUAGUAUAAUAAUUAAGUCAAGUUUUGUGGCUUGCAAAUAGGUACAGCAAGUUUUGUAGCUUGCAAAUAGAUACAGCAAGUUUUGUGGCUUGCAAAUGUGUACCGCAAGUUUUAUGGCUUGUAAAUAGGUACAGCAAGUUUUGUGGCUUGCAAAUAGGUACAGCAAGUUUUGUGGCUUGCAAAUAAGUACCGCAAGUUUUGUGGCUUGCAAA